AUUUUUUGAAAUGUUUACCUUCUUUUUGCACCUAAAAUUAUAAAUUUUUGAGCACUGUUUCUAACUAAAAAUUCUCGAAUAAAAAUUCAAAAAUCUACAUUAUCCGUAACAAUGUUUUGAACGAGUCUAGACAACUUCCUAAGUACCUGGUAAAGAGACUGAAACAACAUCGAACUUUGUCCUAGCGGUAAAGCUGUUUUUGUCGCCGUAUGCCGGUCGCGCAAGAGAACUUUCUAUUGACAUUUGGCAGCACGCGAGAGAGAGAGAGAGAGGAAGGGAGAGACGCAGCGCAAGCAAGAGCGCAACAGCUGUUCACCAGCCCCCAAAAUUGGGUGGAUCCCAAAAAACCAGAUUUGCAUGAACUUUACCACUUCAUCCAGGCUUACAGCAAAUUUAGAACCAUCCAGAAAGAUGUAAAAACACAGAAACUGGCAAUAAAUUGUGUCCAAAAACUUAAAUUUAAAAAAACUGUUUGACAGAAUACAAAUUUGGUAGCCUACUGGUUAAAAAUAAAAAGAAUAAUUACCCA